rnacentral:tRNA from 1 species
AGGACUGAAUUACGUGUUGCUAACACGCCACCCCCAGA